rnacentral:rRNA from 1 species
AUUGAACGCUGGCGGCAGGCCUAACACAUGCAAGUCGAGCGGAUGAAGGGAGCUUGCUCCUGGAUUCAGCGGCGGACGGGUGAGUAAUGCCUAGGAAUCUGCCUGGUAGUGGGGGAUAACGUCCGGAAACGGGCGCUAAUACCGCAUACGUCCUGAGGGAGAAAGUGGGGGAUCUUCGGACCUCACGCUAUCAGAUGAGCCUAGGUCGGAUUAGCUAGUUGGUGGGGUAAAGGCCUACCAAGGCGACGAUCCGUAACUGGUCUGAGAGGAUGAUCAGUCACACUGGAACUGAGACACGGUCCAGACUCCUACGGGGGGCAGCAGUGGGGAAUAUUGGACAAUGGGCGAAAGCCUGAUCCAGCCAUGCCGCGUGUGUGAAGAAGGUCUUCGGAUUGUAAAGCACUUUAAGUUGGGGGGAAGGGCAGUAAGUUAAUACCUUGCUGUUUUGACGUUACCAACAGAAUAAGCACCGGCUAACUUCGUG